rnacentral:rRNA from 1 species
GACGAACGCUGGCGGCGUGCCUAAUACAUGCAAGUCGAGCGGACUGAUUAAGAGCUUGCUCUUAUGACGUUAGCGGCGGACGGGUGAGUAACACGUGGGCAACCUGCCCUGUAGAUCGGGAUAACACCGAGAAAUCGGUGCUAAUACCGGGUAAUAUCUGAGAUCACAUGAUCUUAGGUUAAAAGAUGGCUCCGGCUAUCACUACAGGAUGGGCCCGCGGCGCAUUAGCUAGUUGGUAAGGUAAUGGCUUACCAAGGCGACGAUGCGUAGCCGACCUGGGAGGGUGAUCGGCCACACUGGGACGGAGACACGGCCCAGACUCCUACGGGAGGCAGCAGUAGGGAAUCUUCCGCAAUGGACGAAAGUCUGACGGGGCAACGCCGCGUGAGUGAUGAAGGGUUGCGGCGCGUAAAGCUCUGUUGUUAGGGAAGAAACAGUACCGAACGAACUAGGUCGGUACCUUGACGGUACCUAACCAGAAAGCCACGGCUAACUACGUG